rnacentral:misc_RNA from 1 species
AAAAAAACUUGGAAAUAGCGAUACAAAACACCAAAGCUUAUCUAUUUGAAAGCAAUAUAUAUUGGAAUAUGCUUAUAUUAAAAAAAAAAAAAGUAGGAGAUAUAUAUUUGAUAAUACUAGUUGCUUCUCUUACAGGUGAAGAGUCCCAUUUCUAGGUAGUCUAAAAAGAGAUUUCUUAAGUUCUAAUCAAACCCCUUGUUGAAAAUGAACCUAUAAAAUUUAGGUUAAGUAACUGAAGAUUUUGCACUAUAGUUUUUCAACGGAGUAUAAUUUGAUGCAUGCAGACUAUACAAGCUCUUAAAAAUCAAAUUAAUAACAAUUCAAAGUUAUUGAUAAUUACUUGGUUAUUGUCAUUGGAUUACUAAUUUGUGGGUGUCCUAUUGUCACUGAAGAUAUCGAUGAGGUGUAACUUGAUUAAUCUCUUCAUAUGUAUAAGAAAGUAAAAAUUUUAAAUUUGAAUCUUUUUAUUCAUUAAAUAUGAAUAAAUUUAAGAAUUGGAAAAGAGUUAAAAAGAAAAAAAAAUCAAAAAUCUAUAAAACUUUAAUAU